AGGAGGCAGCAGUAAGGAAUAUUGGGCAAUGGGCGAAAGCCUGACCCAGCAACGCCGCGUGAGGGAAGAAGGUUUUCGGAUUGUAAACCUCUGUCCUUGGGGAAGAAAAAAAUGACGGUACCCAAGGAGGAAGCCCCGGCUAACUACGUGCCAGCAGCCGCGGUAAUACGUAGGGGGCGAGCGUUGUCCGGAAUUACUGGGCGUAAAGGGUGCGUAGGUGGUUGCCUAAGUCAGAUGUGAAAUCCCCGGGCUUAACUCGGGUGUUGCAUUUGAAACUGGGUAACUAGAGUGCAGGAGAGGGAAGCGGAAUUCCUAGUGUAGCGGUGAAAUGCGUAGAUAUUAGGAGGAACACCAGUGGCAAGGCGGCUUUCUGGACUGUAACUGACACUGAGGCACGAAAGCGUGGGGAGCAAACAGGAUUAGAUACCCGAGUAGUCG
rnacentral:rRNA from 1 species